rnacentral:rRNA from 1 species
CCUACGGGCGGCAGCAGUGGGGAAUAUUGCUCAAUGGGCGAAAGCCUGACGCAGCGACGCCGCGUGAGGGAUGAAUGUCUUCGGAUCGUAAACCUCUGUCAGCAGGGAAGAACGGUCACUGUGCUAAUCAGCAGUGCAUUGACGGUACCUGCAAAGGACGCACCGGCUAACUCCGUGCCAGCAGCCGCGGUAAUACGGAGGGUCCGAGCGAUAAUCGGAAUGACUGUGCUGAAAGCGCUCGUGGGCGGUAGGUCAAGUCAAGGGUGAAAUCCCCGCGCUCAACGUGGGAACUGCAUUUGAAACUGGAAAACUGGAGUGUGGGAGAGGAGAGUGGAAUUCCAGGUGU